GAUGAACGCUGGCGGCGUGCCUAAUACAUGCAAGUCGAGCGAACAGAUGAGGAGCUUGCUCCUCUGACGUUAGCGGCGGACGGGUGAGUAACACGUGGAUAACCUACCUAUAAGACUGGGAUAACUUCGGGAAACCGGAGCUAAUACCGGAUAAUAUAUUGAACCGCAUGGUUCAAUAGUGAAAGACGGUUUUGCUGUCACUUAUAGAUGUAUCCGCGCCGCAUUAGCUAGUUGGUAAGGUAACGGCUUACCAAGGCAACGAUGCGUAGCCGACCUGAGAGGGUGAUCGGCCACACUGGAACUGAGACACGGUCCAGACUCCUACGGGAGGCAGCAGUAGGGAAUCUUCCGCAAUGGGCGAAAGCCUGACGGAGCAACGCCGCGUGAGUGAUGAAGGUCUUCGGAUCGUAAAACUCUGUUAUUGGGGAAGAACAAAUGUGUAAGUAACUAUGCACGUCUUGACGGUACCUAAUCAGAAAGCCACGGCUAACUACGUG
rnacentral:rRNA from 1 species